GCCCCGAUCGACCAGAGGUUAGGUCACUAAUCUUACACACCCUGCGACAGGCCGUGUACCGUUAGAGGCGCGGGUUCAAUCCCCGCUCGGGGCU